rnacentral:rRNA from 1 species
CAGUCGCCGCGGGAAAACGGAGGGGGCUAGCGUUGUUCGGAAUUACUGGGCGUAAAGCGCACGUAGGCGGCUUGGUAAGUUAGAGGUGAAAGCCUGGAGCUCAACUCCAGAAUUGCCUUUAAGACUGCCGAGCUAGCAGGUGAGAGAGGUAAGUGGAAUUCCGAGUGUAGAGGUGAAAUUCGUAGAUAUUCGGAAGAACACCAGUGGCGAAGGCGGCUUACUGGCUCAUACUGGACGCUGAGGUGCGAAAGCGUGGGGAGCAAACAGGAUUAGAUACCCCGGUAGUCCCUGUCUCUUAUAC